rnacentral:rRNA from 1 species
GGAUGCGAUCAUACCAGCACUAAUGCACCUGAUCCCAUCAAAACUCCGUAGUUAAGCGUGCUUGGGGCGACAGUAGUACUAGGAUGGGUGACCUCCCGGAAAGUCCUCGUGUUGCAUCCC